rnacentral:rRNA from 1 species
AACGAACGCUGGCGGCAUGCCUAACACAUGCAAGUCGAACGAGACCUUCGGGUCUAGUGGCGCACGGGUGCGUAACGCGUGGGAACCUGCCCUUAGGUUCGGAAUAACUCCCCGAAAGGGGUGCUAAUACCGGAUAAUGUCUUCGGACCAAAGAUUUAUCGCCUUUGGAUGGGCCCGCGUUGGAUUAGCUAGUUGGUAGGGUAAAAGCCUACCAAGGCGACGAUCCAUAGCUGGUCUGAGAGGAUGAUCAGCCACACUGGGACUGAGACACGGCCCAGACUCCUGCGGAGGGGAGAAGGGGGGAUAUAGGGAAACUGGGCGAAAGACGAAUCCAGACAGGCCGGGUAGGUGAUGAAGGCUUUAGGAUUGUAAAGCUUUUUUACCCGGGAGGAUAUGAAGGUAACGGGAGAAAAAACCCCCGCUAACUCCGGG